rnacentral:rRNA from 1 species
ACGACGCUGGCGGCGUGCUUAAUACAUGCAAGUCAACUGAACUUUAGGUAGCAAUAUUUAAAGGGAGGUGGCGCACGGGUGAGUAACACGUAGGUAAUCUGCCUUCCAGGACUGACAUAACUCCGCGAAAGCGGGACUAAAAUCAGAUGAUGCAGCGGCUCGACAUCGAGACAGUUGUUAAACCUUCGGGGCCUGAAGAUGAGCCUGCGUCUGAUUAGGUAGUUGGAGGGGUAAUGGCCCACCAAGCCUGCGAUCAGUAGCUGGUCUGAGAGGAUGAUCAGCCACACUGGAACUGAGACACGGUCCAGACUCCUACGGGAGGCAGCAGUAAGGAAUAUUGCUCAAUGGCCGAAAGGCUGAAGCAGCAACGCCGCGUGGAGGAUGAAAUACUUUAGUAUGUAAACUCCUGUAAGAGGGGAAAAAUAUACAGUUCUGCUGUAUUGAUUGUACCCUCAGAGUAAGCACCGGCUAACUCUGUG